CACGUAGGGGGCGAGCGUUGUCCGGAUUUAUUGGGCGUAAAGAGCUCGUAGGCGGCUCGGUAAGUCGGGUGUGAAACCUCCAGGCUCAACCUGGAGACGCCACUCGAUACUGCCGUGGCUAGAGUCCGGUAGAGGAGCGUAGAAUUCCUGGUGUAGCGGUGAAAUGCGCAGAUAUCAGGAGGAAUACCAGCGGCGAAGGCGGCGCUCUGGGCCGGUACUGACGCUGAGGAGCGAAAGCGUGGGUAGCAAACAGG
rnacentral:rRNA from 1 species